rnacentral:rRNA from 1 species
UAGUCCACGCCGUAAACGAUGUAUGUUAGUUGUUGGAGUCUUAAGGCUUCAGUGACGCAGAGAAAUCAUUAAGCAUACCGCCUGGGGAGUACGGCCGCAAGGUUAAAACUCAAAGGAAUUGACGGGACCCGCACAAGCGGUGGAGCAUGUUGUUUAAUUCGAAGCAACGCGAAGAACCUUACCUACACUUGACAUCCUUCUUGGGACUUUCAGAGAUGAUUGUCUUCGGUUCGGCCGGGGAAGUGACAGGUGCGGCAUGGCUGUCGUCAGCUCGUGUCGUGAGAUGUUGGGUUAAGUCCCGCAACGAGCGCAACCCUUAUCGUAUGUUGCCAGCAUUUAGUUGGGCACUCGUGCGAGACUGCCGGUGAUAAGCCGGAGGAAGGCGGGGACGACGUCAAGUCAUCAUGGGCCCUUAGUGUAGGGGCUACAAACGUGCUACAAUGGAUAUGACAGUGGGCA